rnacentral:misc_RNA from 1 species
AUAAAGAACUCACUACUAUAAUGAUGAACUGAGAAGAUGGAAUUAGAACUCCAAAAGAUCUUCAAUAAAAAUUGGUCUUCACUGCUCCAGAGUCUUUAUCAAAACUUCAACAGCAUCAGUACCAGACUUCUCGUCACAGUGAGGAGCAAGUCUCAGCCUUCUCACUACUCCAACCAGACACCGGACUUGUCCUUCGUGAGGACCAAGUCUCCCGUCUUUCCUUACUUCUUCUCGGAGAGAGAGAAGUACCCACCGCUAGCUCUUUCGGCAUUAGCAUCUACUGCUUCUUAUAAGGUAAGAUUGCCUGAGAUUAUUGUUGGAUUCCUUGGUGCUUACGACACUUGAUCUCCACGGCAUAGCUCUCCACCGUAGACAUCUCUGUCACCCAUUUCUUGGCUUCGACGAAUUUCUUGACAAAUAAGGACUUCAUCUACUAUAAAACUUGACUAAUCCCCAUCAGAUCUUUCUCAGAUGCCUCUCCUCCUUCGAAUUGCUCUUGUAAUCUCCCAGAUCCAUCCACUGACAGAACCCUAAAAAUAACAAAAGAUCUAAUUAGAGAUCUUAAAGAUCAACAUCUUACCUAAAAGUCAGAGAGAAGAGAAAGCAUAGGAGGUAGAGUAGAUCAAUCUGAGAAAUCGAUUCUUCGGCGACUGGCCGAAGAAAACUUGCUGAAAUCUGUCGAUCAGCUCCACGGAUCUCAAAAUAAGUUGGGGGAAAGUGAGAUUGAGAUCACUGGGCAUUGAUUGGGGAGAUCGGAGUGGGGGUUUGAUCUCAUGG